rnacentral:rRNA from 1 species
UACAGGGGGUGCAAACGUUGCUCGGAAUCAUUGGGCGUAAAGCGCACGUAGGCGGUCUGUUAUGUCGGAUGUGAAAGCCCUCGGCUCAACUGAGGAAGUGCAUCCGAAACUGGCAGGCUAGAGUACUAAAGAGGGUCGCGGAAUUCCCGGUGUAGAGGUGAAAUUCGUAGAUAUCGGGAGGAACACCGGUGGCGAAGGCGGCGACCUGGGUAGACACUGACGCUGAGGUGCGAAAGCGUGGGGAGCAAACAGG